AAAUGGGGGGCUAGUGGAAGGGGAAAUGGAGGCCCCUGUCACUGACAGAAACUCUCACCCCUCUCUGUGGACCAGGGUCCUUCCCUCUGACCCCAAACUUCCUUCAUCUGGGGCAUGAGCUCUUCCCCUCACUCCCAUACCCCUCCCCUCUUUCCUUGCUCUGACCCCCAUCCCAUUCCCCGUGCUCCCAGGCAGAGAUCUCCCUGCCCCAUAUGGUGCAGAAGGACCUUUGUGUCAGGGCUACAGACUGCCUGCCCAACUGAAGCUCAGGAAGCUCCACAUUUGAGGAGGUGAGGAUGGGACAGAGGCUCAGGGCCUGCUUCACCUCCUGCCCUUUAUUCUUCCUUUGGCCCUUCUAUGGACUCUCCGAGGGUAACAUGAAUAGGAACCUCCUCCCCACCUGUCUUCUAGGCCCUGGGUGUGUGACUGCCUCCCAGAUGGGUGCAGUCAGAAGCUGAGCCACCUCAGAGAGCAGUGGGGACAGGUCACCUUGUUCUAUGAAACCAAGCAGUGCUAGUUCUCAAAGAGGCUGAGAGGGAAGACCCCCGUCCCUCAUGAAGCAGGAGGCUCCACAGAGAUGUCCUCAAACCUGUUCUCCUGGGAACAUUUCUGGGAGGAGGCUCCCAUCCCUCAGUCUCCAACUCCAUCAUGCAGUCUCAUUCACAUAACAUCUCUGCUCUCCAGCUCCACUUCCCGCAGCAGGACAAACGAACCUUCAGCUCCUAGAGACCUGACUCUGACUCCUGAUCAGCAAUGGGGUUUCACCAUCCCCUCAACAAACCUGUCAGCCUCUGAAUGAUGAACGUCAGAGUCACCAGAACCAGCAAAACUCCAACUGCAGCCAGUUGAGCCUUUGUAAACUUAGCCCCUCUGGAAACCAGGUCUGAACUGGAGAGGUCUGAACUCAUGGACUCCUAGACUUUAAGGUCAGAAGGGACCAUUAUGACCAUCUAGUCUGACCUCCUGCACAAUACAGGCCACAGAAUCUCACCCACCCACUCUUGUAAUAAACCCCUAACCGAAGGGAACUUGAGAAGAGAGGUAGGAUGUGCCCAGGGAAAUCUGCAGCAAAGAGAAAAGAGCAACCCUAGCUGUUGAGUACAGAGCCCUGGGCUGCUACCAGUGUCAGGGUGGGACCGGGUUCCUCUACUGGCCCCAAAGAAGGGGGCAUACACACACCCAGAGAGGGUUACCAAGCCCAGCAAGGGAGCUGCAGGCUGAGCCAGAGCCCCAGCGAGAGCAGAAGAACUUUUUUCUCUGGGAAGACCUCUUUGGACUUUCAGUGUGUGAGAAGCUGAGCCCCAGAAGCAUGGACUAAAGAUGGUGAGCUGGCCAGAGGGCUGAAUUACCAGGCAGAGAGACUGCCAUGGUGCUGGAGUGACCAUCGAUGGAGGAUCAGAGGGUACCUAACAAUGAGUAGAUUCAUUGAUUAUUGGCAUAGUCAGCAGGAUUGAAUUCCCCCUGUCAUCCGUGAGGGCUCAUGGAAGUCUUGGUUACUGAAGGAAGGUCCGUCCCCGCAAGUAGGAUUUCCCAUUUGAGUUCCAGGGACUGGCUAAGCAGCCAAGCAGGUCUCGGGGUUUCUCCAGCAGCUCCUAGAAAUCCAACAGAAGCAGAAGGAAGUGCAGGCAGAACUACAGAUGCAGCUGGUAAUCUUGAGGGAGCAGCAGCAAUACCUGUGAGAGAUCCUGCAAAGGGAAAUCAACCUGUUAGGCCCAUGGACAAAAAGAGAAGACUCAGAGAGCAUGCUGCAGCUGUGCUGAGAAGGUUAGCCCAGGAGAGCAGGGCCUGAGAAAGUGUACAAGCAUAGCCUAAUGCCAAGAUGGGAACAAAAGUUCUUUGGUUUUGGUGCAGAGAAGCAGGCCAUAUCAAAAGACCCGGCCUGCAUAGGAAAUUCCUGAGUGGCAAAAGGGGGGGCCAGGGCCCCAAGAAGGAAGAAAGAAAGGAGAAGGUGUCCUCUUGGACAAACACACAUGAGGCAGGCUAGGUGGAGAUGGCAGGGAUGGCCAUGGACCUUGCAGACCCUUCUCCAACACACCUGUCGGGUGCUGCAGGGAGGUGAAGGAUGAAAUGGUUGGCACAGAGAUGAAUCAGGUACGAGAGUUGAGCAGUGGUGUGUGCUCAGACCCUGAUGGAAAAGGUUUUGGGGGAUGCAGCGGGAGUAGAAAAAAGGCUACAGAAGAAGCUAGUGGCUUCAGAACAAGGCUCUGCAAGCAGUUGUUAAUGAGAAUGAGUGGCUGCAGGAAGAGAAGGAUGGCCUCUGAGUUCUGGUGAGUACGAGGCUGUACGAGUGCAUAGCCGGUGACAGCAACGAGAUGGUGAGGGAUGAAGAUUGGACAAGAGUAGAACUUGCCCCCGGGUUGGGCCGGAUUUUAAGGAGGAGGGUAUUUCACAGGGUGGCUUGGCCUGUGGCUGCAAAGCCUGGAGCUAGGCCAAAUUGAUGACCAAGUGAGCCCCACCUGAGAGGAAACAAGGGAAAACAGCAGCAAAAGUACAGAAGCAGACCUACCUGUUCAGUAUAAUGGCCUUGGGCCAAAACCUGGAGUCCAGGGUAGGACUGGGUUCUCCCACCGUCCCUAAGGAAGGGGACAUAGAAGACCAUAGAAACCCAAGAAGGGCAGACCAAGGCGAAAUCAGGCUGAGGAAGAGCUCCCCACGAGGGUGGAAGGCCUUGUUUCUGUUCAAGACAUUUUUGGACUUUGUUUGGAAGGAGCAUGACCCAGGAAGGAGUGGACUAAAGGACAGUCACCUGGUUGGAGGGCUGAGUUCCCAGCCAACAAACUGCAAGAGUGACUAUCAACGGGGUUGCUAGCCCAGCUAGAAAGCUGUGACACGAGACCUGGCCAGGAUCUAGCGGAGAUGUCUGGUGAACUGCCCGUGGACUCUGUGCCCAGCACCACUCCGAAAUUAUUCGCUACCUUCAAAGAAACAGGCACAGCUCAGCUUGUUAGGUAGGCUGGAGACUCACACUUCACUCAAACACACAACACUGAGGUGCUUUGGGAAGCAUAGUAACAAAGAAGAGAUGUAAGUGAUACUAAGCAAGAGAAAGAGACAAAUUUCAAACAGACAAACAAAACAAAACACACUUUGUAGUGACUAAAACUGAAUCUUAAGAGUCACAAUCUUGGCCUUAGCAGUUUCCAGACUAACAUCUCAGCUUUCCUAACAGACCUUAUUUGAUGUCACUGUAUGGUACAAAAAUUCUCUGUCGAAUCCGCUGAUUUGAUUGCUUAGCCUUUCGGUUUCAGACCCUCUGUUCUCCUUCUGGGGUGCCUGGACCCUGAUUGUAACAUCUCUCUUCCAGUCUCUGUCCCAGCCUCUUACACAGAUGUAUGCUUCAGCCAGCCCAGCUCAGAGAGCAGUGGGAACAGAUGAUCUCAUCCUGUCAAACCGAGCAACAUGGGUCCUACUGAGGCUUAGAUGGAAGAUCCCAUGCGUCUCCGGGAGAGGAUGUGUCCAGGAUCCUGGAGACUGUUUCCUGCAGGAGGUUUGAGUGGGGAGAGAUCACUCACUGUUUUGACCCAUGGGUCAUUAACCCGGGUCUGCAGGGCUCCUGGGAGCAGCCACACUCCAGCAGGCCACCUGGAAGCCUACUAAAAACUGCUUACCUAGGACUUAUGAAUUCCAGACCCAGUUUGAGGCUCCAUCCCUGAGGCCUAAUGGCAGAGUCCCUGAGCAGCUAAUCGGCCCCCGGGACCUCCUUAAACCAACAGCAGGAACAAGAAGCUGUCUGAACACCCGAGCUCCCCUGUCUUCUGGACCAUGUGUUAGCUGUUCCUGCUCCCACUCCCCAGGCUUGAUUUCCUGGCAUCCUGACUCGCUGUGACUCAUCUGAUUUGAGGUUCUGAACACAAUUUGGUGUUUUGCUUCUGCUCUUCGAGUAUCCUGACCCAGCUGACUCUUGACUCCUGUCUUCUGAGUGUGGAUUCUGCCUCUGACCACUAGGUCUGGCUGCUGAUGACAUGGCCAUGACACUGACUUUUCUACGAUUCCUCCAAUGUCCUUUUCUGCUCUCCAGCUCUGCUGUCCCAGCAAGAUACACCAAUCCCCUGGCUCCCAGAGUCCUGGUUGCUGCUAUUCAAGGGCUCAGGGGUAGUGCUUGUAUUGCCCCCUCCCCCACCACAGCUGCUUUUCCUAUGGGAAUCUCCCUAGCACAGAGGAGAAAUCUGCUCUUCUCUUAGGCCUGGUCUACACAAGGACUUUAAUUCGAAUUUAGCAGCGUUAAUUCGAACUAACCGCUCAACCGUCCACACCAGAAAGCCAUUUAAUUCGAACUAGAGGGCUC